CUGACCAGGUGCCUUUGCCUAUACAGAUCUAUCGAACUGUUUCCAAAAGGGGUUCAACGUAUAUUUACCUCAUCGAAAUAAGAGUAAACUGUUUGGAGGAAAUAUUUUUUAUCGUGCCCUAAAUCGACCAUUUUACCUUGUGUCUUCGACGCGUUUCUUCAGCGUCUGAGAUGCUGAACCCAAAGGACCAUAUUGCGAUGCAUACGCUUCACCCAGGCUUAACGACGACGCCAAAAUACGCGCAAAUUCACCACCGCCAUGAUCGCACGCAAGACUUCAUGCGAAGGCACUGCAUGAACCCAUCAUCGGGGAACUUUUUUCGU